GGGAUCAACUGUUUGAAGUUCUGGGAAAGCAAGAUGACUAUUCCUCUUCACAUCAGCUUAUAAAACUUCCUUCCAGGACCUCUGCACUUGCGGGGAGAGAAAGGGUCCAGAAGGACCUUCAGCCUUCUCAUAGUGCCUUUGCUGAAGGAUUGGAGGUUACAGUACUGUGAUUGAACAAUUCUAUGUGUCUCUUAGUGCUCAUCAAGGUUGGUCCUUCAUGUCAUCCAAUGGGAUGUUAAGGAUGGUGAUGACCAGUGGUGGUGAUGGAUUGAUGAAUUGGAGCAAAUCGAUAAUUAAUCUGCUUCUCAUCUAGGCCAAAACAGUCAACGGAAAGGAGAGUUUGUGGGUCAACUGAGUUCAUGGAGAUGAGAGAUUAGCCAUACCUCUUUAGAUCUGUCAAGGCUACACCUCAUUCCUGUUCUGCUGUUUGUCGUUCAGUGUGCCUCCUUGAUGGGGAGCAAGCCAUCCCUCUGUGAACUGUGAUGUGAUUAAUAGUCUCUAUUCCUUGCUAUGCCCUCGAUGUCUCUGGUAACAUUGGA